rnacentral:rRNA from 1 species
GGACCCGCACAAGCGGUGGAUGAUGUGGUUUAAUUCGAUGCAACGCGAAAAACCUUACCCACCUUUGACAUGUACGGAAGAAUUUAGAGAUAGAUUUGUGCUCGAAAGAGAGCCGUAACACAGGUGCUGCAUGGCUGUCGUCAGCUCGUGUCGUGAGAUGUUGGGUUAAGUCCCGCAACGAGCGCAACCCUUGCCAUUAGUUGCCAUCAUUUAGUUGGGCACUCUAAUGGGACUGCCGGUGAUAAACCGGAGGAAGGUGGGGAUGACGUCAAGUCCUCAUGGCCCUUAUAGGUGGGGCUACACACGUCAUACAAUGGCCGGUACAAAGGGAAGCCAACCCGCGAGGGGGAGCCAAUCCCAUAAAGCCGGUCGUAGUCCGGAUCGCAGUCUGCAACUCGACUGCGUGAAGUCGGAAUCGCUAGUAAUCGUGGAUCAGCAUGUCACGGUGAAUACGUUCCCGGGUCUU